CGCGCCGCAUGGUGGCGUCCGCGCGUCGUUACUAGGCACUUUUUUGGUUCGGUUGCGAGGCGCUCUGGUUACAUGGAUAAGGAGGUGUCUGUUGCGAUAGUUUUGUUUUUUUAGGUUGAGGUGAUGGGGUUGGCUUAACGAUGCAGGAGAUAUGAAUAAGAAAGGAACUGCAGCUGAUAACGAGGAGAAGACAAUACGUUAAAGGAAAGAAGAAGGUAAAGGAAAGGAGGCGGGAGCGCCUGAGUACGGAAGCGGAGGUCAGUGCCAACAUGGCAGGGAGCAGCCAGGUGAGCCACGUUGGUCCGGUAGAAGAGAACCCAGGGAGCCUCGGAUCCCGCAGAAAUGCAGAAGGAAACAAGAAGUUGAAAUACAUCAGCUUAGCAUUUUUGGUGUUUCAGAAUGCUUUCCUCAUUCUUAGUAUUCGAUAUGUACGCACAUUACCUGGAGAUAAAUUCUUUGCUACUUCUGCAGUUGUCAUGGCUGAGAUACUGAAAUUACUCACCUGCUUGGUACUCAUCAUGAUACAGAAAAGAGGCAAUGUGAAGGAAUUUUCCCUGCUGCUGUAUGAUUCCAUUAUCUGCCAGUACCUGGACACUCUUAAACUUGCUGUACCUUCUUUAAUUUACACGUUUCAGAACAAUCUGCAAUAUGUAGCUAUAUCUAACUUGCCAGCUGCCAUAUUUCAGGUGACAUACCAAUUGAAAAUCCUCACUACAGCUAUAUUCUCCGUCCUAAUGUUACGGAAGAGCCUGUCUCGCCUUCAGUGGGUGUCUCUGCUGCUGCUGUUUACAGGUGUAGCCAUUGUACAGGUACAACAGGAAGGAGGUCAAAAGGAGGCAUCCAUCUCCAGUGAAAGUCAGAACUACAAAGUGGGCCUGGCAGCAGUCAUUAUGUCAUGUGUGUCUUCUGGCUUUGCUGGUGUCUACUUUGAAAGAAUACUUAAAGGAAGUUCUGCCUCAGUCUGGAUAAGGAACAUCCAGCUUGGAAUAUUUGGCACUCUUCUUGGACUGAUAAUCCUGUGGUGGAAUGAUGGGGUGGCAGUUACUGAUAAAGGGUUCUUUUUUGGUUAUACCCCUUGGGUGUGGUGUGUCAUCUUUAACCAAGCUUUUGGAGGCCUUUUAGUUGCUGUGGUUGUCAAAUAUGCCGAUAACAUUCUGAAGGGCUUUGCUACGUCCUUUUCUAUUAUUGUAUCAACAGUUGCUUCAGUUUACGCAUUUGGAUUUCAUGUGGACCUGCUGUUUACUUUAGGAGCUGGCUUAGUGAUUGGAGCUGUCUACAUGUAUAGUUUGCCCAAAGCCUCUGCAUCUUUGUCGUCGUCAUCAUCAUCAUCUUCAUCUAAUCCUUCAGGCAGCGUAAGGAACCAGACAUCAGAUAAAGACCCAGAAACAGAUCCUUUCCUUCCCAAGUCAGUUCUGGUGAAAUGAGACUUCCUACUUUAUAGCCUGUCUGUCUAAAAUUUCUGCUUUUUUUUUUUUUAACAUGCUUAAUUUUAUUAACUUAUUUUCCUGUUAAGCAUAAAGCCACAGCAUCCUUUUUUUGUGACCUUUUUCCUCUGCAACCAAAUGGCAUAUACCUCAUUUUAUUAGUGUGGAAUAUUCCUACUUACACACAUCAUAAUCAAGAUGCUCUUUUUUAUGAUUUAAAAUGUCUGCUGCAAACACUAUGAAUGUACAUUUGAGAUUAUGCAUUGAUAAUUGAAAUGGAAAGAGCCCUGCCUUUUCUAUACUGUAUGUUUACUUGCACCAACACUUCUAACAUUAAUGUUGGCUCUCUGUUUCUACAUUUAGAAAUGAACAUCAACACUCUGAAACCCUUACCUUUUUCUGAGUUAGCAAAUGAAACUAAAAUAUGUAGUUUGCAUCACAUUUUUACAUUUUUGUGUGUGUGAGAAUAAUUAAUUGCUUUAAUGAAAUGUAUUAGAGAGCUUUAAAACUCUAUAGUAAGAAACCAAUUGAGGAAACAAUGUUUAGGGGAGCAAACUGUAAAUAACUGUACACAUUAGAAGGCUGAUGAUCAGAAGACUUUGAAAGAAGGGAAUUUGUUUUAUGGAAUAAAACCUUCUAGUUGUAUAUUAACUUAAGAGUAUCCUGCCAUACAGUAAUUAGAAUAAUUGUAGCAGCAUUUCAUUUUAGCUUUCACAUUUUACAUUUAAUAUACUAAGAAGUACAAUGCCUUAAUGGUUACUGUUGCAUCACAUGAAGGAAAUAUUUCUAUAAUCAUCGGUUCUUCUGGAGUUGAAUGGUUCACAUCAUUUUAUGCCUUGUCAGACGGAAUUUACAGUAGUUAUUAAUUCUGCAGUUCCAUUCAGAAUUAUCUUUGCAAGAGAUUAGCAAUUGUAACAGAAUUCUCAAACAUGAAAGCUUUCUUGUUCACAAAAAUGGGAUGCUUUGCCUUUCAGAAGUUACCAUUGUUUGAAUAAAAUACUAACUUGUAAAUAGUUUCAUGAAAACAAGGGUAAGGGAUGGGGUGAAAAACUUAAAUCAUUAGACCUUUUAUGGUCCUGAUUUUUACUGCUAUGAGUUUAAAGGUCAAGUGUCAAAAGUAGUGGGUUUUCAGUGACUUAUUUUUUAUUUUUUUAUAUAAAGAUAUAUAUAAUAUAUGUGUAAAGAAAUUAUUAACAAUAAUUAUGAGCUUCUUGGAAGCUGAUUUAUUAAACAGGAAUUGCAUAUUUAUGGGAAUAUAGAAAAUUUAUAAAUUCACUAGUUGCAAAUUAUACAGAUUUUAAUGUCAGUUGACAAUUUCAUCAGUCAGACUUUCCAAAAAGUGCCAACCUGAAAAAGUACAGUUGUAUGGUACAUGUUGGUCAUCUUGCUGUCUACUAGUACUGUAUCUCUGUAUUAACUCAUUGAAGUCACAUGAAAGUCUUACAAUUUGUCCUACCUAUGGUCUACAAUAAAAUGAAAUUAUACCUGACUGUUAAAUUGCUGCACCACUGUUUCAUAUUUAUAUAAUAAUUGACAUGAAGUGUUUUUCAUUAUUAUUUAUGCUCCUUAUUGAUAUACACUUUCAAGCAAAAUUAUUACAUAAUUUUCUUCUUGAGGCACUAGUUUAUUUUGAUUAUAUCUGGAUGCUUAGAGUGUUGCAGCAUUUUUGUGCCAUUUUGCCUAGUGAUUUUCAUUAAUCACACCUAUAUAUUUUGAGCACUUACCGUUUACCUAUAUAGCUUUAUUAUAUUCAUACAGCAUCAUAAGUACAAUAAACUCUAGAAACAAUUGUUGGAUGAAAUUUAAUGUUUACUGGAAAUUAUCUCAAGCUCACUGCAUUUUUAAAGCCAAUUAACUUGUUGCCAGACAGUACUGGGGGCUAUUUGAAAUUAAUCACUGUAUGGUGUGUUCUGCCUCAGUCUUGGCCCGGUUUGAUUUAUUUCCAUGGCUCAUCACAAAGCACCAUGUCUAAACCACUAAGGAUAUCCCACUACACAUCUGGUAGUCAUGGACAUGUGCUAUGACUGUCCAUAACUCGCUAAUUUAAAUGAAGGUUAAAAGUGGAUAAAACUGGAAAAGCUGUGUAGAGUUACAAAGCAAAUUGCAUGGCACAUUUAUCUGGAAAGUACCAUAUAAUAAGAUAUUUAAUUACUUAUUUAAUUAGCACAUUUUAUGUUUUCCAAAUUCUUUUAAGAUCCUUGUAGUUUUCUCUCCGAUAUGCUAAACACUAUUUGUGUGCUUACACUUAAUACAUGUUUUCAGCAUAAAAACAUCACUAAUCACAUAUAGGUGGAACCUUACACAUUUUGAUGUAAGCUAUUGUCUAAAAUUAAUACAAGCAUGAUUUCUGUGCAGUUUUGUAUUCCUUCCUCAUGCGUAGUUGGUUUACAAAGCAGUCUUUGUUAACAUAGAAAGAUGCACAUAUCAUUUGUAUAACAUUCACAGUGAUAUAGCCUUUAUUUAGUUUUUAUUUUUUGCUCUGGUGGAAUGUGUGUUUGCUGCUAUCAGAUCUGAGAAUGAGUAUCAGUAGAAUGUGUUUCCUGAAAAGCAAUAUUUCAAUUCUACUUGAUCUUUAAGCUCAACAGUGGAACAGCAGGAACAGUGCUUUUAUGUAAAAAUAAUUUGAAAACUUUUAUUUACAACUCAAACUAAUUGCAUGCCAAAUCUAACAAGCUUUAUUCUAAAAAAAAAAAGCUUUAUCUACUUAACUGGUCUGAAUGGGCACAGGAAUCUGAUUAAAAAGAGAGAGAAGAAUGAGUGUUCACCUGUUUUUCAGCAGCCUGAAAAGAGGUCUGUUAAAUUACUUCCAAUGUUUUUGCGGGGGCUAGUCAUGAAUAAUUACCAUAGACUAGGGGUGAGCAGUGUCGGUCCUAGAUGAGCCGCUCUGGCUACAGGUUUUCAUUCAAACCCAAUUGCUUAAUUAUAAACCAAUCCUUUACAAUCUCAGACCUUAUUUAAUUUUAUUGCUUGUUAGUCUGCAAUGUAAGGAUCUUAUAUCAUCUCAUUUUCUAUUAAGCAUUUUAAUAAAUCAGUGCAUGAUGUACACACAAAGAUGUAAAUUGAAACAAGCUAGAUGGUGAACUGCUGACUGCUUUGUAAUUUACAUCUUAUUGUUAAUAAGAACCCAUUAAAACAGUGAAUGCAGCUGUUUAAGAUUGAAAUAAGCAAUUAAGGGCGGGGAACCUUAGCAAUUGAUACCACUAAAAUGAAGCAUUAAACUGUCACUUAAGCAAUAAGUGCAUCAUCAGCAUUAUCUGACUUCUCAUUAAGAAACUGGGUUGGAACAAAAACCUGCAGCCACUGCGGCUCUCCAGGACCGACAUUGUCCACCCCUGCCAUAGGCUACCAACCAUUGAAAAUGCAACAUUUUUAUGCCUGUCCAAAAUAAUGUACAUUUCUCCUGUUAAAACAGAUAUUUCAUUAUGUAUUGUGUAACAAGCUUAAGACUAGAUUCGAAUAAUAUACAAGGCCUUUUUAUUCACAAAAUCUGUGAAAUGUAAUUUUUUUUUUAAUAUAAUAUGACAACAUACCAUAGAAAUAUAGUUUGCAGUAAUAAUGAUAAAAUGUACAAACACUCAAAUGUUAGAACACAGGAGUAUAUAGAGUAGAGGUAUAUUUAGUAUGAAAUACUUUAAUAACAGUUACAUUUUGAGUUCCUUUAUCAAAUUAAGACUUGUGAGCUAGUAGAAGAGUACUUGCAAUUAUUCACAAGCAUAUCUAUUAUAUAGUAAAACACAACUCUGUGUGUGUGUGUCCGCCUGUCUAUCUGGUCCCACCAAGCAAUUGGCCAGAUUGAUUGAUUGUGUUUUAGGGAAAUUCCAUAUUUGCAACAGAGUUGAUCAAAAGGUGCAAAUGUUAAUUAUUAAAGAUUUCUAAAGGUUGAGAUGUCAAGUGACUUCUACAAGUCAAAUAUGUGAAGUUGAAUGCAGAGUUAGUUCGAAAUGAAACGAGACGGAAGUUUCACUUCUUUAAACUUUUGUCUAAGUAGUAUUAAAUUGGUGAUAAUUACUGUCGACUGGAGCACAAAGCAAAACAUACAAAGUGGAGUACUUACAAGAUUUUCUUUCGAAGUCUAAACAGGCAGGAGCAUUUUCAGUUUUUCCUUCUUUCCAGUAUUUUCAAUUUCAAAUAUUUAAAUCCCGGUAGUAUGGCUGGAGUUACGUAGCACCAUUCCACUUCCUGCUUUCAGUCAGUGUAGUUUCUUAUUUUUAAUAUGAGGUCUUUAUAUCCUCCAUGUGUACAAACUUACAAGAGGAUGUUCAUUUUAACUAAAUGUAUUUUACCUGCUAAAAAAUAAGUUUAAAAUGAUUUUUAAAUUUCCUUGUUCCUGUAACUCCAAAACAGUUCAAAUGUUCUGUAAUGGUCAGCAGAAAGUAUUUAAACAUAUCAUGUCGAACCAGUAAUUUUAUCUGGAAAAUGCACAUGUUUUUCCAAGUUAAUUUUAAGUGCACAGAAUUUGUAAGAAGUGAUGUAAUCAAAUUCCUUACGUUGUAAUAUGCAUCCCUUCCAAAAAUUUUCCAGAAACAAAUGACCAGGAGUUUGAGUGUAAUUGCAGUCAGCCUUGGUAAUCUGUGGACAGCCUCACUGGAUUACACAUUCGGAUUACACAUUCUGAUCAUAAAUAAUGUGAAUUUAUAUUGUUUACCAAUGCAGGGGCUUCUGGGCUUGAGUACAAUAUUUUGAUCCAGGCACAAAUAUAUGGACCAAAUCCAAAUUUGUGCAAUACAGUUCUGAGAUAUCUCCAUUCUACUAUAUCAGAUGCUUUUUUCUGGAAGUGGAUUUGCUGAGGAAGUGUAUUGUAUGUCAACAAGCGGUGAAUGUUUGAUAAUAGCUGACUGCCUUUAACAAAUCCAGUUUACUCUUGUGAUAUUAUUAUAGGGAGUACUUUCUCAUUACUUUUGGCUAGAACCAUUGCCAGUACCUUAAUGUCAUUAAUCAGUAAUGAAAUUGGUAUAAGGUGCAAAUUCCAGGGGUCUUUAUUCUUCUUUGAAAGUAAUGUAAAGCGUGGGGAAAAAGAUUGUCUGCCUUAGCAGUUUCGAACAUUAGUAAGCAUCCUUUUGUAAAAUUCCAUUGUAUAACCAUCCAGGCCUGUAGCAUUCCCACUUGGUAAGACGGUCAGCAUUCCAAAUUUUUGAUUUGUGUAGAUCUCCUGCGAGUAGUGCAUUAAGUUGGAAUUCUAAUUUAUCAAAGGAAGGAUUAACAUGGGCUUCUACUUUAUUAUACUCUGAUGUAUAAGUAAAUCUUACUAAUAUUCCUGAAUUACUUUUGUUAUUGCUUUUAUAGACCCAAAGUUUGACCCUCUGUACAUUUUUAAUAUCUACUAUUGUGUUUUAUGCUAUUCUUUAUGUAUUUGUUGAGUUGAGCUCUUACCAGCUUUUUCUCCAUGUUCAUAAUUAAAAUAUUAGGCUUUAUAGAUUAAUUUCUCCAAUACCCCAGUAAUUAGAAGAUUAAAUUGUCUUUAUACUGACAGUCUUUUUAUGUAGUGUUGCUAUGGGUGAGAUUGCAUAUUCUUUAUCAACCCAUUGUGUCUAAUUUUCAGUUUAUUUUUUAUGAGAUGAACACCAGAGUGCCACUCAAGUUAUGUCAAAAUGCAAUGUUUUAUUCUGUUGUUGUUGUUUCUGUAUAGUUUAUGGACAUAUUUCUUAAACAUUUUUAAAGAAACACUUGAUGAAGAGAGAAAAUCUGUGUUGAAGUCUCCAGCUAAAAUUGUUGUCUGCAAUGAACCAUGAUGGAUAGCCUGCCAUUGUGGUAGUUUAUUGACAGGCUGUAGUGUCAGAGAAAUAUUAAAUCAUUAUAAUCAGCAGAAAAAACAGCUUUGAAUUUGUUGUUGGUAUGAAUUAAAUACAGAUCACAUGUUUAUUCACUCUUCUAUUCACUUCUUGAUAAGUGAGUUUUUAUUUAUUUAUUUAUUUAUUUCUGUUUUGGGGUAACUUUCCUCAAGCAGAAUGAUAACCGUGUUGGCAAGACAGGUUUGCUUGAGCCCUGCUGAUUUACAUGCAACUCUCAUGGCAUUUCACCAGUUUGUAUUGAGGAUCUGUUUUCCAUCAUUAUUGAUCCUGAGUUGCCUCGAAUAUUGCAUGUUGUAAUCUUUUUAUUUGCCCAAUAAAAGGUGUCAUUUGCUUGACUUCUCACUACAUUCAUAAUGGCUAACACGGUACAACACCCCAUACUACAGAUAUCUCAGUGAAAACAGAAGUUUCUUUAAAAAUUUCCUUGUAGAAUAAGUGUCCCAAAUUUCAGCAAAAUGAAAGAUGAGUUGUUUCAUGGGGGCCAGCAUACAUGAUGGCAACAGUAGGUGCUUUUUGAAUUAUAUAUGAACUCACUUAAAAAUAGAAGAAAGAAAGUGUACUUUAAAAGCUAUUUUCCACCAGUCAGGUUUAGCUUACUCAAAUGAAUUUCAUAUCUAAAUGAUUGUGGCACAUAUUACUUAUUCUGGCAAGCCUUAUAAGUAAAUCCAUUAUAUCCAUAUUCCAGUUCAUUGGUAAAUGCUGUACUAGUUUUGAAGGUAGAAGAGUUUUUUUCAUUUCCCCCUGUCUUCAGAAGAGCUAAAGGUGUAGGUGAAGCGAGCAUGCCGAACUGCACACCACUUUUUUUUAAUAAGAGGUCCCCUUUUAAGCGGUUUCUACCGUAAAGUUUGGAAAGAUAUAAAUUAAAUUACUGUCAAAAAAGAUUUCUCCUUUCUCUCUAUAUGGAAUAUCACAUUGUCUUUUUCCUGGAGUUUAUCAAUUUUGACAAUGAAUGCUCAUGGUGAAUGCUUCCCAGGUAAGCGAUAAACUCUUUUGACUUCUAGUUUUUCUGUGAUGAUGCCAUUCACUUUGACUUUUUGACUGGGGGUAAGGUUACUGUUUUUGACUCAUUUUUAAGUAUAUGAAGUUUAAGUAUAAAGAAAGAAAUGUAAACUCUUGGAUAUAGCAGUUUAUGUGCUUGAUUUCAUAGUUUGAAGAUAUAUUUUUAAUUUACAAAUUUCUCCCAAAAAAUCAUUGUUUCUUUUCUUUGCAUUAUCUAGAAUAGAAGGUAAAAUCUGCAGUUACAUUUUCUUAUGAUAAAUGCAGUGACAAAUGAUUUUGCUUUAGAAAAUCGGUGCAAAGUGCACAAUGGUGGACUACUUCAAAAAUCCAACCAAGGAAAAAGGAUGCUAGAACUUGGCCAAGAGGUUAGAGGCAACAUCUGUCAAUGGAAAAUGCCUUCACUAAGUGAUCAUUGUCAGAGAUAUUUCAGGAAUAUUCAUUUGGAUUUUGUCAUAUGUGCUUCUGCUUCAGAGUAUGUCUUCUCAUAUAUGGUCAAGCGUUUCUGAAUGUCUUUUUUAUUUUAGCUGACAAACCAGCAUCCAGAGGUUAAGUAUUAUGUGAAGUUUCUAAUGUUGUAAGUGAAUGCAAGGUACUUUUAAUAUUCUACAAAAGUGGCAUUUUUAUAAUGAAAUGACUUCCGUGAACAGUGAAGCUUUAUCUGUUUUUAUUGUCUCUUGUUAAUAAAUUUAACUACCUUAGAAUUUAUACUUUUAACUUUUUUUUUUACUGACAGCAAUGCUUUAUAGACUGUAGAGCUUGGCAGUUUGAGUUUGUUUGACUAAGGAUGUUGUGCAAGGUUAUAGAAAAUAAGUAAAAUUUAAUUCUUAUUUCUAUGCCAAUGUUGGAGAGCUUUAGUUGUCCUUUGCACCAUAAUAAAAUUAUGCAAAAUAGUGACAUGUGACCUCUCAGAUUAGGAAAAAAAAUAUUUAGAAGAGGUGAAGGUAUUCCUGAAGCCAGAUUUCUGUGAAAAUUGAAAAUGAUCAGCAGAUUGUGAUCCAUUUGUUUGGAGUGGCCACAGAUUUAAAGAGAUAGAAAAACACCCAGGCCAAUUGAAAAUCACUUGGAAGUAACAAGGUUUUUGUAAUUCAGGUGCUACGGCAACUGAUUUCAAAUUAACUAACAGUUUGCAACAGUGAGGUCAGGCUUAAAUAUCAGCAGCCCCUACAUUGUCCCCCAGGUAAUAUUGCAUCUCUCUUGGAAAGACCAAAGUUCUCCAAUGUAUAAGGCGUGCAUUGAAUUUGGGAUCCUGAGGUGGUUUGUCGUGGCAUGGGUGUUGCAGCACAUGGUAUCAGUGCAUGCUCAUGACUGCACCUCACCACAUUAGCACCACUGUGAAGGAAAAUUUGGGACAAAGUUUUCUAUUCAAAUAAAACUUUCUGCUAUGCAUUACAUUGCUUGUAUAGACUGCUUUAAAGAUCUGGCUUUAAUCUACUAAAGUGUAUUUAUCAUCCGACAACAUGAUUGAUCAAAGUAAAUUUGAAAGUUACUGUUCCAUUCAUGUCCUGUACAAUGCAUAUUGGAGUAAAGAUGAAUUUUUAAAUUCUUAUAUUUCUGUUAAUAUGAGGGUGCUAUUUAUUUUCUGUUUCAGGCAUUACAUGCUAAAGCAUUUGUGCUUCAGUAAAGCAGAGUUGCAAUACAGGCAAUAUACAGCAUCUGGAUAAAGGUCCCAAGUACUCUAACGACAAGUACAACUCUUAUUACAUUUAUUGUACGCCUAAGAAUAAGGCACAAUUUCACGUGCAUGUAACAGGUUUCCUAAAAAUAUGUAUUUGAAUGUUUAACAAAACUGUGCAACACCUCUUACAAGGGUGAUUUACUACCAUAGCAGCUAGGUAUUAUUUCUUGUUAUAGAGUCUUUUUUAUACUGUAUGUUAGAUAUUUUUAGAUUGCUUUAUUUAUCAUGUGUAUGAUACAACUUCAAUAUUACCUCAAAAUUUUAUGUUUAAAAGUUUCAUUAACUGUCUAGUGCCAUGUGAAUUGAAUCUUCAUUUUUACAGAUGUUGUUCUCUUUUUAAUGUAUUUGUCUAAUAGUAGCCCUCUGCUCUUUGAACCUUGGAUCUAUUAAAUUGCAAUGAGUAAUGUUAAUAAAUUAAACCAACAAUGUUUUAUGAAA